AUAUAUAUAUAUAUAUAUAUAUAUAUAUAUGCAUGUAUAGCUGUGUGUAUUUAAACUUUGUGUAUAUUGCUUGCUUUGCAGUAUCUUAUUAUCACCACUGGACUCUUUCCGAAAUGGAGGGAAAAGCUUUUAUUAUAAUGUGCAUUUUUAUUGGUAAGUGAAACAAAUGUUAAAACAAAUUAUACAAGAACAACAAUAAUAAUACCCCAAUUCACUUAGACAUAAUAUAUAUAUGUUCAAAAUAUGUACUUUAACAGCACACCAACUUUUUGUCUUCUCUAGCAACAGUCCACGCGCAAAGUUCAACAACUCAGUCCACAGUAGAUUCAACAACCGACACCUCUGCAACACCCACAGCUACAAUGACGUCUUCAACAACCACUACAACUCUUGCUGAAUCAUCCACUACUACUGCAGGAGUUACCACGACAGCACCACAAACUACUUUUACAACAGCUGAAUCCUCCACAACAGCUACAACAACAGCAGAUCCUUCAACAACCACUACAACUAUUGCUGAAACAUCCACUACUACUGCAGGAGUUACCACAACAGCACGACAAACUACUGUUACAACAGCUGAAUCCUCCACAACAGCUACAACAACAGCAGUUCCUUCAACAACCACUACAACUCUUGCUGAAUCAACCACUACUACUGCAGGAGUUACCACGAUACCACCACAAUCUACAGUAACAACAACUGAAUCCUCCACAACAUCAGUUCCCUCAACAAGCACUACAACUCUUACUGAAGCAUCCACUACUACUGCAGGAGUUACCACGACAGCACCACAAUCUACUGUUACAACAACUGAAUCCUCCACAACAGCAGUUCCCUCAACAACCACUACAACUCUUGUUGAAGUAUCCACUACUACUGCAGGAGUUAUCAUGACAGAACCACAAACUACUGUUACAACAGCAGAAUCCUCCACAACAGCUACAACAACAGCAGCAGUGCCCUCAACAACCAUUACAGCUCUUGCUGAAUCAUCCACCACUAUUGCAGGAGUUACCACAACAGCACCACAAACUACUGUUACAACAGCNNNNNNNNNNNNNNNNNNNNNNNNNNNNNNNNNNNNNNNNNNNNNNNNNNNNNNNNNNNNNNNNNNNNNNNNNNNNNNNNNNNNNNNNNNNNNNNNNNNNNACAACAGCUACAACAACAGCAGUGCCCUCAACAACCAUUACAACUGUUGCUGAAUCAUCCACCACUACUGCAGGAGUUUCCACAGCAGCACUACAAACUACUGUUACAACAGCAGAAUCCUCCACCACAGCUACAACAACAGCAGUGCCCUCAACAACCCUUACAACUGUUGCUGAAUCAUCCACCACUACUGCAGGAGUUACCAGAACAGCACAACAAUCUACAGUUACAACAGCAGAAUCCUCCACAACAGCAACAACAACAGCAGUGCCCGCAACAACCACUACAACUCUUACUGAGGCAUCCACUACUACUGCAGGAGCUACCACGACAGCGCCACAAACUACUGUUACAACAGUUGAAUCCUCCACAACAGCAACAACAACAUCAGUGCCCUCAACAACCAUUACAACUCUUACCGAGGCAUCCACUACUACUGCAGGAGUUACCACAACAGCACCACAAGCUACUGUUACAACAGCUGAAUCCUCCACAACAGCUACAACAACAGCAGUGUCCUCAACAACCACUACAACUUUUGCUGAAUCAUCCACUACUACUGCAGGAGUUACCAAAACAGCACCACAAGCUACUGUUACAACAGCUGAAUCCUCCACAACAGCUACAACAGCAGCAGUGCCCUCAACAACCACUACCACUACAACUUUUGCUGAAUCAUCCACUACUACCGCAGGAGUUACCACAACAGCACCACAAAUUACUGUUACAACAGCAGAAUCCUCCACAACAGCUAGAACAACAGCAGCAACAUCUGAAACACCAGCAACUUCAUCGCCAACAGGUUCAGCCACAGUCUUUACAUCUAUUAUUGGUACAUCCACCAGUGGUACAGCAAUAACCGCAAUAGUGACACAAUCUAAAGUUACUACAGAGUCUACAGCAUCUAACACUUCUACAGAACCUGCAGUGUCUACAGCUGCUAUAGCUUCUACUGUAUCUACAGCUUCAACAGCAUCUACAGCAUCAACAGCAUCUACAACCUCUACAGCAUCUACAGCCUCUACAACAUCUACAACCUCUACAGCAUCUACAACCUCUACAGCAUCUACAAUCUCUAAAGCAUCUACAACCUCUACAGCAUCUACAACCUCUACAGCAUCUACAACUUCCAAAGCAACUACUGCAAAAAUAAUACCUGAAGUGCUAACAGAUCUAGUGUUUAGCUCUUUUGAGACAUUUAUAGAUGCACUCAGUGAUGUCAACAGUGAGGAGUUUAAGAUUAGGUCUAAACUUGUCAAGGAUGAGCUUGAGCCUGUCUACAAAAUCAAGUAUUCUAACUUCCUCAGACUGAAUGUCCUAAGAUUCAGAUCAGGGUCAAUCAUCACAUCAACACAACUAGCUUUCAGCUUCAACCAAACUAUCCCAUCUGUUCAAGAGAUUUCAAACACCCUCUUGGAAGCAGUGGGAACAGGGGAUGUCAAUCCAUUAAAGAUAAUCCCUGAAUCAAUUUCAGUCAAUGGUUCAGCUACAACUGUUGCUCCUGCAACAACUACAACAACCACCACAGCAACUACAGUUUCAGGCGGAUUAAAGAUUGAAUCCAGUCUGUUCCAAGCAAUAUGCCUCAUUAUUAUGUCUAAAAUAUUAAGCUUUUUCCUAUAGAUCCCUUAAACAUAUCAACCAAACAUGAGAGUUCAACAAGACACACUGUAACAAAUUAAUUAAACACAAAAUGUAUUUAUUAUUAUUAUUAUUAAAUGUAUAGUAUUUCUCAUUGUAGCACAUUCUCAAAUACUAGUAUUGAGCAACAUAAAGAUAACUUUGAUAAUGCAUUUUUGCUGAAGAAUAUAACAGUAGAUAUCUGUUUAACAGCAGGCUGUUUUCUGGGAGGGAGAAGUAGAUCUUUUUCCUUAUGUAUUUCCUUUAAAUGUAAACAUUGUGAAUGUUGUUUAACUGUUUUGAGGUUAAUACUGUUUAAACUACUUAUUUUUGUUUGUCUAAGUUCUAACAUUGUAAUAUGUAAUAUUUUAAUUAAAUAAAAAUAUUUAUUAAAUGAUGUAGUCCA
ensembl:lncRNA